rnacentral:rRNA from 1 species
UUGGCUUUACCUGAAGACGGUGCGCUAACCGCAAGGAGGCGGGCGACCACGGUAGGGUCAGCGACUGGGGUGAAGUCGUAACAAGGUAGCCGUAGGUGAACCUGCAGAAGGAUCA